rnacentral:rRNA from 1 species
GGCUAACGCUGGCGGCGUGUCUUAGCCAUGCAAGUCGAGCGGACUUAUGGGGUAACUUAUAAGUCAGCGGCGGACGGCGGAGUAACACGUAGCUAACCUACCCUCUGGACGGGGAUAACCUACCGAAAGGUGGGCUAAUACCCGAUGUAGUCAUCCUGUAUAGGGGUGAUGAAAGGUGGGCUUCUGUUUACAAGCUCAUGCCGGAGGAGGGGGCCGCGGCCUAUCAGGUAGUUGGUAGGGUAAUAGCCUACCAAGCCGAUGACGGGUAGCCGGCCUGAGAGGGUGACCGGCCCGAGGGGCACUGAGAUACGGGUCCCACUCCUACGGGAGGCAGCAGGCUAGAAAUUUGGGCAAUGGGGGAAACCCUGACCCAGUGACGCCGCGUGCAGGAAGGAGCCCUUCGGGGUGUAAACUGCUGUCGUGUAGGGAGAAGGGUACUAAGGUGAACAAUCUUAGUACUUGACGGUACUACAGGAGGAAGCCCAGGCUAACCUCGUG